rnacentral:lncRNA from 1 species
CCCACAAGCAUAGAUUACUCAGGAUGUUCUCUUUAGGCUCUCUUAACAUGAGAACCUUUAGCUUCUGAAAAAUCUGCAAUGCUACUCUGAGGUUGACAUUGAAAAGUAAGCACUUCUCAUAAUAUUAGCAUUGAAAAGUAAGGAUUUCUCAUAGUAAGAGAAAUGGCCCCAGAUCAAAUCUGUUGUUUUAUUUCAUCCUGGUAUUUUUCUUCUACGGAAUCUUCUUACCAAGCUCUGUGUGGCUUGGUUUUCUAACAAUUUCAGCCUAUUUCAGAAAGAUGAUGAGGAUGCAAACAAGAAGUAAUGCAAAAUUAGCCUACUAUGUUGCAUCCACAGGAGUGGAUUUCCCGUUUGCAUUAGGACUCCAUUAUUCACACCGUUAAAGACCAGUUAGCAGAUUAAUGCAUUAUCCCUCUAUGCUUCAAGCCCAUACUUAAUUUGUUUAGCUUUGCUUUCCUAGAAGAUGAAGAAGUAUAAGGUAGAGUGUGGGAGGCUUCAUGUUUUGAAUAAGAUAAGCAUGUGCUUUAAGUUAAGGACCAAAAAUAUAUCAGGUUCUAAGGAACCCACCUAAUCAUACCAUGGAUAAAGGCUGGGGAAGGAAAGGUGAGUUACAGUUCUGUGCACAUCAAGGACAUGAUUCCAUGUAUUCUUGCUCAUUUGGACACCCUUGGAGUUAAUAGAUACGCAAUUCAGAAAGUCACAGGCCACAUCUCAGAAUUGUAUAUUUAAGAGGACCCCUAGCAACUCCCUAGACCAGUGCUACUCAAAUGAGAUUUUCUGACUUGUCCAUGAACUGUUUUCUACUAGCCCAUAACAAGCUAAUAAGCACAGCAAUUGCGAAUAAGCAUUGAUACACUUACGCUGAAAUUUGCCAGAAUAACAUUAUGUCUGUUGAAGCUAAUAAAAACUUGGGGCUUGUGUU